rnacentral:rRNA from 1 species
UACAGAGGGUGCAAGCGUUGUUCGGAAUCACUGGGCGUACAGCGCACGUAGGCGGAUUGUUAAGUCAGGGGUGAAAUCCUGGAGCUCAACUCCAGAACUGCCUUUGAUACUGGCGAUCUUGAGUCCGGGAGAGGUGAGUGGAACUGCGAGUGUAGAGGUGAAAUUCGUAGAUAUUCGCAAGAACACCAGUGGCGAAGGCGGCUCACUGGCCCGGUACUGACGCUGAGGUGCGAAAGCGUGGGGAGCAAACAGG